CGGGACAGAACUGGCUCGUAUUUUAUUUCAAGUGUCAAACCUCCUCUCGAAACCUCCGCUCCGUGAGAGACGUUUCGCGUCCGAGCGGAAAGAGGAGAAAGAAAGGAAGAAAUAAAGAGAGGAACCGUCGUGUAUCGU